UCUAUACUGCAGUCGACGCUUCUUUUUCCACCGGAGCUUGCUCCACCGGAAAAAGAGGAGUGGCGAACGGGUGAGUAACACGUGGGUAACCUGCCCAUCAGAAGGGGAUAACACUUGGAAACAGGUGCUAAUACCGUAUAACAAUCGAAACCGCAUGGUUUUGAUUUGAAAGGCGCUUUCGGGUGUCGCUGAUGGAUGGACCCGCGGUGCAUUAGCUAGUUGGUGAGGUAACGGCUCACCAAGGCCACGAUGCAUAGCCGACCUGAGAGGGUGAUCGGCCACAUUGGGACUGAGACACGGCCCAAACUCCUACGGGAGGCAGCAGUAGGGAAUCUUCGGCAAUGGACGAAAGUCUGACCGAGCAACGCCGCGUGAGUGAAGAAGGUUUUCGGAUCGUAAAACUCUGUUGUUAGAGAAGAACAAGGAUGAGAGUAACUGUUCAUCCCUUGACGGUAUCUAACCAGAAAGCCACGGCUAACUACGUGCCAGCAGCCGCGGUAAUACGUAGGUGGCAAGCGUUGUCCGGAUUUAUUGGGCGUAAAGCGAGCGCAGGCGGUUUCUUAAGUCUGAUGUGAAAGCCCCCGGCUCAACCGGGGAGGGUCAUUGGAAACUGGGAGACUUGAGUGCAGAAGAGGAGAGUGGAAUUCCAUGUGUAGCGGUGAAAUGCGUAGAUAUAUGGAGGAACACCAGUGGCGAAGGCGGCUCUCUGGUCUGUAACUGACGCUGAGGCUCGAAAGCGUGGGGAGCAAACAGGAUUAGAUACCCUGGUAGUCCACGCCGUAAACGAUGAGUGCUAAGUGUUGGAGGGUUUCCGCCCUUCAGUGCUGCAGCUAACGCAUUAAGCACUCCGCCUGGGGAGUACGACCGCAGGUUGAAACUCAAAGGAAUUGACGGGGCCCGCACAAGCGGUGGAGCAUGUGGUUUAAUUCAAGCAACGCGAAGAACC
rnacentral:rRNA from 1 species